GACGAACGCUGGCGGCGUGCUUAACACAUGCAAGUCGAGCGGAGCGGCGAACGGGUGAGUAACGCGUGAGUAACUGCCCCCCUCUCUGGGAUAACAGUUGGAAACGGCUGCUAAUACCGGAUAGUGGGGGAUGACUCGCGUCCUAUGCGCUUGUUGGUUGGGUAGUGGCCUACCAACGCGACGACGGGUAGCCGGCCUGAGAGGGCGACCGGCCACAAUGGGCUGAGAGACGGCCCAAACUCGAACGGGAGGCAGCAGGGGGGAAUAUUGCACAAUGGGGGAAACCCUGAUGCAGCAGCGCCGCGUGCGGGAUGACGGCCUUCGGGGGGUAAACCGCUGUCAGCCAUGACGCGGUAGUGGCAGAAGAAGCACCGGCUAACUACGUGCCAGCCGCCGCGGUAAUUC
rnacentral:rRNA from 1 species